rnacentral:lncRNA from 1 species
AACAACAAAUCAAAGGUUAAAGAGAAACAAGUAGAUGAGUUGCAUGAACAUAAGGAAAAUACCUGCCAAGAAAGUGAAGAUAUUUUGUGAAUUAUUGUUUGAUAUGUAUUAUUAUUUGAUAUGUACUAUUGUGAAAGUUUAAUAUGCCUGCAAUGUUGAUUUGGGGUACAAUGACUGUUGUGUUGAUUCAUGUGUUCGUUUAUUUUUAUUUUUAUUUUUUUUGAAUUUGUAACUUGUUUGAUAAAAUUUCACAUUGAAUAGUUAAAUUUUGUAUGUUGUACAGCGAACAUUCCUAAAAGGAAAGCUCAGGAAAUGGGUGGUUCAUCGACUAAUUUGCCUACUGUUGGAGGAAUUCAGAGCUACCUGCCGUUACGGGAUCCAUUGUUGUCGACGCGAAGAAGUUACAUAAGGUGAAAAGGAAGGCUGCAUUGUUGAAUUAUAAACAACUUAAAGUGAAG